rnacentral:lncRNA from 1 species
CAAGGACAGAUAAAGCUCUGGCCAAGGCCUUAUUCUUGCUAUUUGCUGAUUUAUUUGUUCAAUGCUGGUCUCCCACACUAGACCAUGAGCAGGAAGGAGAGGCAGCAUGCAACUGUGCUCGUUGUCUACACAGGGCCUAGCACUGGGCCUGGGCCAGGGCAGGCACCUGGGAGAUUGCUGCAAGAGAGAAGGUCACCUAUCUCCCCAGGUAGCCUCUCUCACCCUGACAAUGUAUCUUCACAGGUAAGGGACAAAGACAAGACUAGAAAUCAUCCCUCUGCCCACCUCAAGACAAAUGCAGAUCUGACUUCUUCUUCCUCUACUCUAUGUUUACUUUAUCUUAUGUAAAAUACAAGAUUUACUGAGCAGGAGCCGAAUGCA